rnacentral:rRNA from 1 species
UGACUCUGAAUAACGCAGCAUAUNGGCGGCUUGUCCGCCGAUAAUCCGAAAAAGUGUCUGCCCUAUCAACCUGAUGGUAGUCUAUUAGUCUACCAUGGUUAUUACGGGUAACGGAGAAUAAGGGUUCGACUCCGGAGAGGGAGCCUUAGAAACGGCUACCACAUCCAAGGAAGGCAGCAGGCGCGAAACUUAUCCAAUCUUGAAGAGAUGAGAUAGUGACUAAAAAUAAAAAGACCAUUCCUAUGGAACGGUCAUUUCAAUGAGUUGAUCAUAAACCUUUUUUCGAGGAUCAAGUGGAGGGCAAGUCUGGUGCCAGCAGCCGCGGUAAUUCCAGCUCCACUAGUGUAAAUCGUCAUUGCUGCGGUUAAAAAGCUCGUAGUUGGAUCUGAGUCACAUGCAGUGGUUCGCCUUUGGCGUUAAUCGCUGUUGUGACUAUUUGCUGGUUUUCUACUGGGGUUUCGGCUCCUUUAGUGG